GGCCUUGUGGUUUUUCUUGGUUUUCUUCAGGAACUGUUUCAGGCUGCCCGAAGACACGUACUCUGUGAUGAAAAUGACCCGUGCCUUUGAGUCCUUCACAUCCAGCCAGUAUUUAUGGAGCUUCACGAUGUUGGGGUGGUCCACCAGCACCAGCUGCUCGAACAUGGUCUUGAUCUUCUCCUCGUGUGCUUUGAAGGCCUUCUUGUCAGUGAAGAGCAGCUCAUUCCACACCACCUCCACGCCUUCCUCCGUGUCCAUGGCGAGGAAGGUGCUUUGGAUGCCCGGCAUGUUCCCCUGAUUCACCUGCUCGCGGCGCUUCUGCCACCGCCCGCACGGGCUCUCCUCCAGGAUCUCGCUCUCCUCUUCGCUCUCCUCCUCCUUCUCCUGCGCCAAACGCGCGUCGGACUCCGGCACCGCCAUCCCCGCACCGCUCCGCUCCGGGGUGGACGGAUCGGACGGAUCGGGCUCAACCCUCCACCUCCCCCCCCCCCCCCUCCGACGUGCGGCCGCACACGGAC
rnacentral:lncRNA from 1 species